AUUGAACGCUGGCGGCAGGCUUAACACAUGCAAGUCGAGCGGAGAGAGGUAGCUUGCUACUGAUCUUAGCGGCGGACGGGUGAGUAAUGCUUAGGAAUCUGCCUAUUAGUGGGGGACAACAUUUCGAAAGGAAUGCUAAUACCGCAUACGUCCUACGGGAGAAAGCAGGGGAUCUUCGGACCUUGCGCUAAUAGAUGAGCCUAAGUCGGAUUAGCUAGUUGGUGGGGUAAAGGCCUACCAAGGCGACGAUCUGUAGCGGGGCUGAGAGGAUGAUCCGCCACACUGGGACUGAGACACGGCCCAGACUCCUACGGGAGGCAGCAGUGGGGAAUAUUGGACAAUGGGCGCAAGCCUGAUCCAGCCAUGCCGCGUGUGUGAAGAAGGCCUUAUGGUUGUAAAGCACUUUAAGCGAGGAGGAGGCUACUUUAGUUAAUACCUAGAGAUAGUGGACGUUACUCGCAGAGUAAGCACCGGCUAACUCUGUGCCAGCAGCCGCCGUAACAC
rnacentral:rRNA from 1 species